AGUGAACGCUGGCGGUAGGCCUAACACAUGCCAGUCGAACGGCAGCACAGUAAGAGCUUGCUCUUACGGGUGGCGAGUGGCGGACGGGUGAGGAAUACAUCGGAAUCUACUUUUUCGGGGGGGAUAACGUAGGGAAACUUACGCUAAUACCGCAUACGACCUACGGGUGAAAGCAGGGGAUCUUCGGACCUUGCGCGAUUGAAUGAGCCGAUGUCGGAUUAGCUAGUUGGCGGGGUAAAGGCCCACCAAGGCGACGAUCCGUAGCUGGUCUGAGAGGAUGAUCAGCCACACUGGAACUGAGACACGGUCCAGACUCCUACGGGAGGCAGCAGUGGGGAAUAUUGGACAAUGGGCGCAAGCCUGAUCCAGCCAUACCGCGUGGGUGAAGAAGGCCUUCGGGUUGUAAAGCCCUUUUGUUGGGAAAGAUAAGCAGCAGGUUAAUACCCCGCUGUUCUGACGGUACCCAAAGAAUAAGCACCGGCUAACUUCGUG
rnacentral:rRNA from 1 species